GCUCGGCUGCUGCCUCCUCCGCUCCUGACGCCGCGCGCUGGCGCACUUUGAGAAGUGCCCAGAAGCCGGAGCCCGCUGUCACAUCUGUGGGGUUCCACGGAACGCGCAGACUUGGGCUGCCAGCUGCUGGUGGACCUGAAUGAGAAGAGAUUGACCCAAAACUCGAAUGAUGAGGACAGUGCACGUUUGCUUUUCCUAUAGAGGACAAUGCACGUCUGCUUUUCCUGCUUGAGAAAAUCCAACUGAGUGCCAGCUCACAGAGGAAGUAUUUUUCCAGAUAAACUCUCUGGGCAUGCUGUUCUCUCCUGGUUCAACCCACAAGGUUCCACCCAUGCAGAGGUUAUUCCUGUGCCCAUCUUCCAAAGCCCAGGCUCCAUGAAGGCACAGAUGAAGAUGCCAUCACUGACGGCUUGACCAAACUCAAUGCUUCCCAACGUCAACGAGUUCUGAUCACCUACAAGAGCACUCCUGCAGGGUUUGAUCGAUGACUGGAAGUGACUUGAAGCUGAGUGGGAAUUCUGAGAGGGUGAUGAUUGGGAUGAUGACCGCCAGCACCGUGUGUGACGUGCAGAACUAAGGAGGGCUGUGAAGGUUUGGAAGUCUUCCUUUCGAAUGGCUCAAGUUCUGGCCAAGGACUUGCUGCUUUGUUAUGUACGUCUUCUCAUUUAUUAACUCUUAAAGAAACCUGGCUGCACGUCACAAGCAGGUGCUGGUAUCUGAAAUCUUGCUUGGCGAUUCCCUAGGGAGCAGGAACAGGUGAAGGCUGCCUGAUUGAAAUUCUGGCUUCUCGCACCAGUGAAGAGAUUGGUCACAUUGAUGAGAACUGCGAGCUUCGUAAGCAGAGCAAAAGGCCAGGCCUUGUCCUGCUGCCUGCCAUCAGUGUGUGUGUGUGCAGGCAGGCGUGAUAGGAAGGAGUCUGGGGAGCUUUCAGGUGUGACAAACUGGCCAACCUGGGUGUUGCUGUUUGUGCAGAGAGAAGCUAGACUGGAAUUUCAGCAGCAGCUGAACUGGUGUAACUGAAAUGGGGAGGAGCAUUCUGUCUGUCAGCGGGACGUGUGGCUCUCUUGCCAGUUUCUUGCUGUCUGUGCUUCUUAAUUGGAGGCUGCAGCACUGAUGAUGAUGGCUGGAGCGCUGCAGUGAUGCCGAGAGAUGCAGCCAGGUGAUGGCUGGCAAAUGUUGUGGGCAGCACCCAGGUGGUGGCCCUGCUCCUUACGGAUGCUGUGUGUGUUCCUGCUGGAAGCUGGCUGCUCCCUUGAGGAUGGCGUCGUAUCUGACACAUCUGCCGUGUUCCCAAGGGUCCUCGUGUCCCUCGUGGCGCUGAGCCACGCUGAGGGAGAAGGGGCUGAAUGUUCAGAGCUGUGGGCACAGCUCUGCACUCAGUGGUGAGGAGCUCCAGGCUGGCUUUUUCUCACCCUGUGCGUCCCAUGGCUGCUCCUCAAGCCCAGCUUCUGCAGGGAGGGGGCUCUGACUCUGGCUGUGCGUGAGUGCUGUGGGCUCUUCUUUAAACAUGCCAGUAAAGUGGGUUGCUGCUCGUUUCAGAAGGAGCCCAAAGCACACUUGAGCUGUGUUUCGCUGUGUUUGUGAGCUGUGUUCCCUUUGAAGGACUCCAUUAUCCAUCUCCAGCACCCGUUCCUGAAUGGGGAGUUCUCAGGAGUUGCUUCCAGUAGAUGCUCUGGUGAACCGAGUCUUCUCUCCUUGUGUCCUUGCAGAGGUGAGGGAAUGCAUGUGGAUGAUGGCCUUGCUCAGCAGAUGCUCAGGUCAGUUGUCCAUCUCAACAUCCAGCGCAGGAACAACAUUUCAUUCCCGCAGUGCAUAAUGCUGUGAAGGCAUCGCAGGCCGCCCGCUCGUCUCCGCCGUGCUC